ACCAGGAGAGCAAGCGUCGGGCCAUGCUGGCCGCGGUAUUGGAGCAGGAACUGCCAGCGCUGGCGGAGAAUCUGCACCAGGAGCAGGAGCAAGAGCAGGGGGCCCGUCUGGGCAGAAACCAUGUGGAAGAGCUGCUGCGCUGCCUCGGGGCACACAUCCACACUCCCAACCGCCGGCAGCUGGCCCAGGAGCUGCGGGCGCUGCAAGGACGGCUGAGGGCCCAGGGCCUUGGGCCUGCGCUUCUGCACAGACCGCUGUUUGCCUUCCCGGAUGCGGUGAGGGCGCCUUCUGGUAGUUAGAGCUGCCCAACAACAGGUAGUGAGCUCCCCGUGCCUGGUGAGGUGCCAGGACUUGACGUUCCAAGAUUCCCUGUCUCCUCCGUGAAGAUCAGGCCUGCAGCAAAAAACCGUCUGCCCAGUCCUAGCUUCCCAGGCCUUCCCUGGACCUCAAGCCCGCCCACCCCACUCGCCUCUCGCCGAAGACUUUCUAGGCCUUUCCAGCUCAAGCCCUGCCU
rnacentral:sRNA from 1 species